rnacentral:rRNA from 1 species
GGUUCAGGAUGAACGCUAGCUACAGGCUUAACACAUGCAAGUCGAGGGGCAGCAGAUCGAAAGCUUGCUUUGAUGUUGGCGACCGGCGCACGGGUGAGUAACGCGUAUCCAACCUUCCCUACAGUAGGGGAUAGCCCGGCGAAAGUCGGAUUAAUACCCUAUGUUCUUCUUCGAUGACAUCUGACGAGAAGCAAAGGUUUACCGCUAUAGGAUGGGGAUGCGUCUGAUUAGCUUGUUGGCGGGGUAACGGCCCACCAAGGCUACGAUCAGUAGGGGUUCUGAGAGGAAGGUCCCCCACAUUGGUACUGAGACACGGACCAAACUCCUACGGGAGGCAGCAGUGAGGAAUAUUGGUCAAUGGGCGAGAGCCUGAACCAGCCAAGUAGCGUGCAGGAAAGACUGCCCUAUGGGUUGUAAACUGCUUUUAUGCGGGAAUAAAGUGCACUACGUGUAGUGUUUUGUAUGUACCGCAUGAAUAAGGACCGGCUAAUUCCGUGCCAGCAGCCGC